AGGGUUCGAUUCUGGCUCAGGAUGAACGCUAGCGACAGGCUUAACACAUGCAAGUCGAGGGGCAGCAUAAAAGUAGCAAUACUUGGUGGCGACCGGCGCACGGGUGAGUAACGCGUAUGCAACCUACCUAUCGAGAGGGGAAUAACCCGGCGAAAGUCGGACUAAUACCGCAUAAAACAGGGACACCGCAUGGUGAUAUUUGUUAAAGAAAUUCGCUGAUAGAUGGGCAUGCGUUCCAUUAGGUAGUUGGUGAGGUAACGGCUCACCAAGCCGACGAUGGAUAGGGGAACUGAGAGGUUGGUCCCCCACACUGGUACUGAGACACGGACCAGACUCCUACGGGAGGCAGCAGUGAGGAAUAUUGGUCAAUGGGCGAGAGCCUGAACCAGCCAAGUCGCGUGAAGGAAGAAGGAUCUAUGGUUCGUAAACUUCUUUUGCAGGGGAAUAAAGUGCAGGACGUGUCCUGUUUUGUAUGUACCCUGAGAAUAAGGAUCGGCUAACUCCGUGCCAGCCGCCGC
rnacentral:rRNA from 1 species